rnacentral:rRNA from 1 species
UACGUAGGGGGGCAAGCGUUGUCCGGAUUUAUUGGGCGUAAAGAGCGUGUAGGCGGCCAGACAGGUCAGCUGUGAAAACUCGAGGCUCAACCUCGAGACGUCGGUUGAAACCGUCUGGCUAGAGUCCGGAAGAGGAGAGUGGAAUUCCCGGUGUAGCGGUGAAAUGCGCAGAUAUCGGGAAGAACACCCGUGGCGAAGGCGGCUCUCUGGGACGGUACUGACGCUGAGACGCGAAAAGCGUGGGGAGCGAACAGG